GACGAACGCUGGCGGCGUGCUUAACACAUGCAAGUCGAACGAAGUGGCGAACGGGUGAGUAACGCGUAAUCAACCUGCCCUUCAGAGGGGGACAACAGUUGGAAACGACUGCUAAUACCGCAUACUGAAGGAGGGGUUUGCGUCUGCUUAGCUAGUUGGAGGGGUAACGGCCCACCAAGGCGAUGAUCAGUAGCCGGUCCGAGGGGGUGAACGGCCAAAUGGGGACGUGGAAAAGGCCCAGAAUUCUACGGGAGGCAGCAGGGGGGAAACGUCCGGAAUGGAGGAAAGGCUGACGGAGCAACGCCGCGGGAGUGAUGACGGCCUUCGGGUUGUAAAGCUCUGUUAAUCGGGACGCGGUACCGGAAUAGAAAGCCACGGCUAACUACGUGCCAGCAGCCGCGGUAAUAC
rnacentral:rRNA from 1 species